AUUGAACGCUGGCGGCAUGCUUUACACAUGCAAGUCGAACGGUAACAGGCCGCAAGGUGCUGACGAGUGGCGAACGGGUGAGUAAUGCAUCGGAACGUGCCCAGUCGUGGGGGAUAACGCAGCAAAAGCUGUGCUAAUACCGCAUACGAUCUGUGGAUGAAAGCGGGGGACUGUAAGGCCUCGCGCGAUUGGAGCGGCCGAUGUCAGAUUAGGUAGUUGGUGGGGUAAAGGCUCACCAAGCCGACGAUCUGUAGCUGGUCUGAGAGGACGACCAGCCACACUGGGACUGAGACACGGCCCAGACUCCUACGGGAGGCAGCAGUGGGGAAUUUUGGACAAUGGGCGCAAGCCUGAUCCAGCAAUGCCGCGUGCAGGAAGAAGGCCUUCGGGUUGUAAACUGCUUUUGUACGGAGCGAAAAGGCUCUCUCUAAUACAGGGGGUUCAUGACGGUACCGUAAGAAUAAGCACCGGCUAACUACGUGCCAGCCGCCGCAGUAAGAC
rnacentral:rRNA from 1 species